CUGAUGCAGCGACGCCGCGUGGGGGAUGACGGCCUUCGGGUUGUAAACCUCUUUUACCAGGGACGGAGGCUCCUCGUUUUCGUGGGGUUGACGGUGGGUGGGGAAUGACGACCGGCUAACUACGUGCCAGGGGCCGCGGUAAUACGUAAGGUCUGUGGGGUGUCCGGAAUUAUUGGGCGUAAAGAGCUCGGGGGCGGAAUGUCGCGUCUGCUGUGAAAGACCGGGGCUUAACUCCGGUUCUGGACUGGAUACGGGCAUGCUAGAGGUAGGUAGGGGAAACUGGAAUUCCUGGUGUAGCGGUGAAAUGCCCAGAUAUCAGGAGGAACACCGGUGGCGAAGGCGGGUUUCUGGGCCUUACCUGACGCUGAGGAGCGAAAGCAUGGGGAGGGAACAGGAUUAGAUACCCUGGUAGUCCAUGCCGUAAACGUUGGGCGCUAGGUGUGGGGACUUUCCACUGUUUCCGCGCCGUACCUAACGCAUUAAGCGCCCCGCCUGGGGAGUACGGACGGAGGGGUAAAACUCAAA
rnacentral:rRNA from 1 species